UGCAAUCGAUGAUGCAAUGAAAUUAUUUACACUGAUGUUUUACUGUGAUUAACAUAAAUUUAUCACCAUCUUUCGACUGAGAUUGCA
rfam:Helianthus annuus linkage group 11, whole genome shotgun sequence.